AUUGAACGCUGGCGGCAGGCCUAACACAUGCAAGUCGAGCGGAUGAAGGGAGCUUGCUCCUGGAUUCAGCGGCGGACGGGUGAGUAAUGCCUAGGAAUCUGCCUGGUAGUGGGGGAUAACGUCCGGAAACGGGCGCUAAUACCGCAUACGUCCUGAGGGAGAAAGUGGGGGAUCUUCGGACCUCACGCUAUCAGAUGAGCCUAGGUCGGAUUAGCUAGUUGGUGGGGUAAAGGCCUACCAAGGCGACGAUCCGUAACUGGUCUGAGAGGAUGAUCAGUCACACUGGAACUGAGACACGGUCCACACUCCUACGGGAGGCAGCAGUGGGGAAUAUUGGAUAAUGGGCGAAAGCCUGAUCCAGCCAUGCCGCGUGUGUGAAGAAGGUCUUCGGAUUGUAAAGCACUUUAAGUUGGGAGGAAGGGCAGUAAGUUAAUACCUUGCUGUUUUGACGUUACCAACAGAAUAAGCACCGGCUAACUUCGUG
rnacentral:rRNA from 1 species